rnacentral:lncRNA from 1 species
UUGCUCCAAUUCUGGAAAGGUUAGUGACAAGAAUACCCGAAGGAAUAUUUUUACAAUUAUCCUGAUAUGCUCAACAACAAGGUAAUGUUGUAAAUAAUUAAAAGUUUAUGUUAUGGUCUGAUCAGUGCUUAUUUUAGGACGCUAAGCUUGUCCUUGGGAAACCAUCAAUUUAUGUCAGUGAAGUGGUUUCCCCUCCAAUACUGACCUAUAUCA